AAAACCCCGGAAGGACCCGGAGUCAUUCAGAGCCCCGAAAGGGCUUGAGCCGCCUUGGGCGCCCAAGAGGGCUGUGGGGUCCCAGGUAGACCCCCCGGUGAACAGACUUGCACAAUGCGUUAGUGGACAUUUAAGGACUCAGCCCCGUCCGAGACACGCGGACUGAAACUCACGAGGACCUUCAGAGCACAGGCUUGUAGAGGGGCACUGACGCUCUGGCCGACCCACGGGCGUACACACUUCUGUUUCCGUUCUUUCGCCCCCUGGUUCUUAAAGGGUCAUGUCCGACUCUGCGACCCCAUGGACUCUAGCCCGCCAGGCUCCUCGGCCCAUGGGAUUAUUCAGGCAGGAAUACUUGAGUGGGUUGCCUUUUCCUCCUCCAGGAGAUCUUCCCCACCCAGGCAUGGAAUCCGAGUCUCCUGCAUUGGCAGGCGGAUUCUUUACCACUGAGCUACCUGGGUAGACGUCAAAACAGAUAGAGACUUAGACUUAGUGUUGCCCAAGCUCAGAUGAUUCUCAGAUAAGGAAACAGGUCGAGAGAAGUGAAUGAUCUGUUCAUCUUCACCCAUCCAUGCCUUCCCAAUGUCAAGACAAAAGCUGAAGAAAGGGAGAAGAGGAAUGAUAGACUUAUUUGGAGAAGAUCAGUGCUGCCCAUCCUUUGCUGGGCGAACAAGAUUUGAAUCAGCAAAGAUGAGGAAAGGUAAGAGGCAAAGACAUGAGAAAGGCUGGAAAGCGACACUGUGCCGGGGAGUGGAGAGGAGCAUCCAGGUGUCCCGGCUUCGCUCUGCUUGGCCCUGCCUCAGCUGACCAGACUCAUGGUUAGGCCCCAGAUGAUGGACCCUCUGGAAGUGGCUUCUUCUCUCCCUCGGGCAGGUUGGCUGAAAAAGCUGGAUUCUGUUUCCGCAGAGAGAAUAGAAUAAGGAAUGUGUUAAUUUUAGAAAGAGCAUUACACACACCCACCAGAAUGCCUAAAAUGGAAAUGAUGGAAAAUGCUAGGAGAUGCUCAGGGACACUCCCACACAGCUGAGGGGAAUGUGGAUUGGUACUGACUUUGGAGGAUGGUUUUGAGGGUAUCUCCUGAAACCAACCGUACACACCUUAGUCCAAAGUGGAGGAGGCGAGGAAGAUGCCUGGAAAUCAAGUCUUCCAGGGAAUGAAAGGGAUCAUGGGCAAAGAGGACCCGUGCCCAGGAGUGUACAAGAGUACACAGGCUCAACAGACUGAAAUCACCUUUCCCAGAACUGUGAAAAUUCAUAUUACUUCUCCUCUUUGAGCUUGUGUUUCUAGAGAACUACACACAACUUAGCAUAAGCAGAACAGGUGUACAAGAUAGUGACUCACAGUUUUUAAGGGAGUGAGAGAAGAUGAGCUGGUUGAAUGGCAUCAUCGACUCAAUGGACGUGAGUCUGAGCAAACUCCAAGAAAUAGUGAAGGACAAGGAAGCCUGGAAUGCUGCAGUCCAUGGAGUUGCAAAGAGUCGGAGACUACUGAGCAACUGAACAACAGCAACAGCACUCCACUUACAGCUUUUUAUAAAAUAUUGGUUGUAUUCUCUGUGUUCUACAAUAUAUCCUUGUAGCUUAUUUUAUACAUAAUAGUUCAUACUCUUAAUCCCUUGCCCUUAUAUUGCCUCUUUAUCCUUCUCUCUCCCUACAGGUAACCACUAGUUUGUAUUUUAUUUGUUGUUAUUCAUUCACUAAGUCUUGUCCAAUUCAUUGUGGCUUCCCUGUCCUUCACUGUCUCCCAGACUUUGCUCAAAUUCAUGUUCAUUGAGUUGGUGAUGCUAUCUAACCAUCUCAUCCUCUGCUGUCCCCUUCUCCUUUUGCCUUCAAUCUUUCCCAACAUCAGGGUCUUUGCCAAUGGGUCAGCUUUUUGCAUCAGGUAGGCAAAGUAUGGGAGCUUCAGCUUUAGCCCAUCAGCCCUUCCAAUGAAUAUUCAGGGUCGAUUUCCUUUAGCAUUGACUGGUUUGAUCUCCUUGCAACCCAAGGGACUCUCAAGAGUCCUCCAGUACUACAAUUCAAAAGCAUCAAUUCUUCGGCACUCAGCUUUCUUUAUGGUCCAACUCUCACAUCUGUACGUGAGCCUGUUUCUUUUUUGUUAUAGUCACUAGUUUUAUUUUUUAGAUACCACAUAUAAAUGGUAUCAUACAGUAUUUCUCUUUGACUUAUUUCACUUAGCAUAAUAUCCUCCAAGUCCAUCCAUGUUGCUGUAAAUGCAAAGUUACAUUCCUGUUUGUGGCUGAGUAGUAUUCCAGUGUACCACAUCUUCUUUAUCCGUUCAUCUGCUGGUGAACACUUGGGUUGCUUCAGUAUUUUGGCAAUUGUAGAUAAUGCUUCUGUGAACAUUGGGGUCUGUGAACAAGUAUUUUUCUCAAGUUUAUCUUUUUGGUUUUUCUUCAGGUAUAUAUGCAGGAGUGGAAUCAUAUUGUAGUUCUAGUCUUAAUUUUUUUUGAGAAAACUCCAUACUGUUUUUCACAGUGGCUGCAUCAAUUUACAUUCCUACCAACAGUGUACAAGGGUUCUGUUUUCUUCACAUCCUAGCCAACAUUUGCUAUUUGUAUUCUUUUUGAUGAUAGCUGUUUUGACAGGUGUGAGGUGAUACCUCGUUGAUAGGUUUUGAUUUGCAUUUCUCUGAUGAUUAGCAGUGUUGAGCAUCUUUUCAUGUGCCUGCUGACCAUCUGCAUUUCCUCUUUGAAAAAAUUUCUGUUCAGUUAUUCUGCCCAUUUUUUAAUCAGGUUUUUUUUUUUUUUUUGAUGUUGACUUGUAUGAGUUGUUUAUCUAUUUUGUAUGUGCACCCUUUGUCAGUCGUAUCAUUUGAAGAUAUUUUCUCCCAUUCAGUAGGUUGCCAUUUUUUGGUCAGUGGUUUCAUUUGUUAUGCAAAAGCUUUUAAGUUUACUUAUGUCCCAUUUGUUUAUUUUUGCUUUUAUUAGGAAACAAAUUUUUUAAAAAUUGCUAUGAAUUAUGUCAGAUGUUCUGCCUAUAUUUCCCUCAAGGAGUCCUGUGGUUUCUGGUCUUACAUUUAGGUCUUCAAUACAUUUUAAUUUAAUUUUGUAUAGGGUGUGGGAGAAUGCUCUGAUUUCAUUCUUUUAUUAAUACAUGUAUCUGUCCACUUUUCCCAAAACCACUUAUUGAAGAGAUUGUCUUUUCUCUGAUAGAUGUUCUUGCUCCCUUGUCAUGGAUUAGUUGACCACAGCAUGUGGCUUUAUGUCUGUGCUCUCUAUUCUAUUGCAUUGAGCUGUCUGUCUGUUUUUGUGCCAGUACCAGGCUGUGUUAAUUAGCUUUAUUGUGGAGUCUAGAGUAAGGGAGGGUGAUUCCUCCAGUGCUGUUCAUUUCUCUCAAAGUCAUUUUGGUUAUUUGGGGUCUUUUGUGUUUCCAUAUAAAUUUUAGAAUUAUU